UACGAACUGUGCAAACGUUAUUCGGAAUCACUGGGCUUAAAGGGUGCGUAGGCGGCUUGUCAAGUAGGGUGUGAAAGCCCCCGGCUUAACCGGGGAAUUGCGCCCUAAACUGACGAGCUGGAGUGGGACAGGGGUGUGUGGAACUUCCGGUGGAGCGGUGAAAUGUGUUGAUAUCGGAAGGAACGCCGGUGGCGAAAGCGACACACUGGAUCUUGUCUGACGCUGAGGCACGAAAGCCAGGGGAGCGAACGGG
rnacentral:rRNA from 1 species